CAUGACCCCAGAUCAGACGGGACCACCCGCUGAGUUUAAGCAUAUCAUA
rnacentral:rRNA from 3 species